ACUGCUUGACGACUCGGCAUCAUCGUGGGGGAGAAAAUCUCGAAAUUUCCAUUUCAUACAUACAUAAAAUCAUUUCGAAAAUGAAAUCUCUCCCCUUUUUCAAAAAUAUAUACUUAUCGUUUUCCGGAAACUUUUCCCAUAUUUCUGGGCAUUUUUACACCAUGAGAAUCCAAGUUUUACAAGGAUUACGGGAUAAAAUGAAUCUCCGUUUCUUUUGAAAGUUCAUCCUUGAGUUCUCAUCCGUAAAAGGUUCCUUUUAUUUAUUUUCUCGCCAUUAUUUCUGCAAAAUGAGAGAGAGAAUUGAUGAUGAGAUGAGAGAAGACCAGAUGCAGUCAGUGAGGUAAAUAUUUGCAGUAAAUGAUGCAAUUUCUACCCACUACGGCGAGGGGGCGGGUGCAGUAUGUGUGUACAGGAGUGGGAAUUAUGUACAUUGAAUGGGUAGCCAGUGGCAGGUCGGUUUCUUCUCGUACAACGAAUAAUGAAAUUAAAGUCAUUGUUUGUUUGACUCGUGUUUCAGGAAGAAAAAGAGAGAUGUAGAAUGUUCAUACAUUGUAGCAGCUCGUGUGAGGUUAUGGGAAAUAAUUGAGUAUGGAUGGAGUUUCGUUUUAAAUGAUGGAUUUUGUGACAUAAAAUGAAAUAAAAUUUCGUAGCAAAAUAUACAUUUGCACAAAA